rnacentral:rRNA from 1 species
GAUGAACGCUGGCGGCGUGCCUAAUACAUGCAAGUCGAGCGAACAGGUGAGGAGCUUGCUCCUCUGACGUUAGCGGCGGACGGGUGAGUCACACGUGGAUAACCUCCCUAUCAGACUGGGAUAACUUCGGGAAACCGGAGCUAAUACCGGAUAAUCUCUUGAACCGCAUGGUUCAAUAGUGAAAGACGGUUUUGCUGUCACUUAUCGAUGGAUCCGCGCCGCAUUAGCUAGUUGGUAAGGUCACGGCUUACCAAGGCAACGAUGCGUAGCCGACCUGAGAGGGUGAUCGGCCACACGGGAACGGAGACGCGGUCCAGACUCCUAAGGGAGGCAGCAGUAGGGAACCUUCCGCAAUGGGCGAAAGCAUGACGGAGCAACGCCGCGUGAGUGAUGAAGGUCUCCGGAGCGUAAAACUCUGUUAUUAGGGAAGAACAAAUGUGUAAGUAACUAUGCACGUCGUGACGGUAACGAAUCAGAAAGCCACGGCUAACUACGUG